CGCUCGGGGGGUCCUGCUGCUCCACCAGCUCCCCGCAUCCCUGCCCUCUCCAGCCCCGGGAAGCAGAAACGGCAGCCAGCGACGGUGAGGGGGACAGACAUGGGGGUGAGGACUGCAGGACAGCUGCCACAGGACUCACCUUCCCUCCGCCCACCCUGUGGGUCCCCAAGUCAAAACUCGCGGGGAAGAUGCUCAUCCCGGGAGACGGGCGGGUCCCGAGCCUCUGGGACUCCUCGCGCCUGCCCGGUGCUUACCCAGGGAGCAGGCAGGCCCCUGGCGUAGCUGCCUCCACUGUGACAAGAAGCCGAAGAUGCCCCCGGAAGGAGAGGGGGGCCGAGUCCCUGGGGCUGCCCCGGGCUCGCAGAGCUCUGCCAGGAUAAAGCCGCCUGGCCUGGCAGAGGACACUCAUUCUGUGGACCUGCAGAAGAGGGGUCAGGGCCCUCUCUCCACCCCAGCCGCCAAC
rnacentral:lncRNA from 1 species